CAACGCCGCGUGAGUGAAGAAAGCCUUAGGGUUGUAAAGCUCUUUUAGUGGGGAAGAUAAUGACGGUACCCACAGAAAAGCCCCGGCUAAACUUCGUGC
rnacentral:rRNA from 1 species